rnacentral:lncRNA from 1 species
UUCUAACCUAUGAAAAAUAAAUCUUGUAAGUUUAAUUUUAUCUAUUGUUAAUGCUUAUAAGGUGUAAGAACAAUUCAUUUAUAUAAUGGUUGCGAAUAAAAGCAGUAUUAUUUGGACUAAUGAAUUGGGCAUCAAAAGUUGUGAUACAGGUAAUACUCUUCGAUUAAUCACAAGAUAACAUGGACUAUUGAACAAAAUGUUUGAUUUUGAAAGUGUUAUUGAUUUACCACUAGCUGGUCUAUAUGUUACUCAAAAGAAGUUUUGGUCGAUACAAAAUUGGGCUCCCAAAUAAUAACGAUACAUACAUUAGUUGAAUCUUUGACAAGUAACAGUUGCGAGAUUUGGCUAAUCAGUUGACAACUAAAGUUGGCACAUGUUAUUGAAUAAUACUCCGUAGUACUAUAUAAUAUGGUCGGAUCUGGUUGGCUAUUGACUGUGGGUGGAGUUUGGUAUGCUGUAUUAUUUCUACUCUGAAUCAGGUGUAAUGAUUCCCUAAAUUUUCUGCAACAUAACAGUCAUUUUGUAAUGAUACCAACUCUGUUGCUUCUUGGGCUAUGGAGGAAAUGAGAAUGUCUCCAUUUCUCGCACAAACCAUUUCUUGAAGGAAAUGGGAAUGUCUGCUAUAGCCUUGACAUUUUUCUUCACAACUGCGAUAGCUUUAACAUUUGGGACAAUGUUCUGAGAUAUUGGUUCCAGAACGUAAUAAAUUUACCAACACAGUAACUUACUAUUCGGAGCUCCAGACUUGUUUAGUUUCUUAUUCUCCACGUAGCUCUUUUAUAUAUGGAUGUCUAAUGUAUUCCGCAG